rnacentral:rRNA from 1 species
GUAAGGGGCAGUAAUGCGUGGGUACCUACCUGGGGUCUGGGAUAGCCGUCCGAGAGGGCGGGUAAUACCGGAUGAUCUCGGGAGAGCAAAGUCAGCGCCUGGGAAGGGCCACGUUGGUAUUUACUUAAUUUGGGGGGGUAAUUGGGCCACCCAAGGGGGAGAUUGGCUUAGCGGGUUGUGAGAGCACGACCCGGCCACUGGUACUGAGACACUGGCCAGACACCUACGGGUGGCUGCAGUCGAGGAUCUUCGGCAAUGGGCGCAAGCCCGACCGAGCGAUGCCGCGUGUGCGACGAAGGCCUUCGGGUUGUAAAGCACUGUCGAGGGGGAGAAAACCGCAAGGUUGAUCUAUCCCUGGAGGAAGCACGGGCUAAGUUCGUGCCAGCAGCCGCGGUAAGACGAACCGUGCGAACGUUGUUCGGAAUCACUGGGCUUAAAGGGCGCGUAGGCGGGCUGCCAAGUCUGUGGUGAAAUCCUCCGGCUCAACCGGGGAAGUGCCUCGGAUACUGGCGGCCUCGAGGGGGGUAGGGGCGUGCGGAACUGUGGGUGGAGCGGUGAAAUGCGUUGAUAUCCACAGGAACUCCG